AGGUCCUGGCACUCUAUGGCCGAGGCCAUCUCCUGGGCCUCCUGUACUGCUGGGCUGGAAGGUGGUGGUCAUGUACGGCGAGGGCAUUGGCAUUUCUGGCAAUUUCUAUAGAAACAAGUUAAAGUACCUGGCCUUCCUCUGCAAGUGGAUGAACACCAACCCUUCCCGAGGCCCCCACCAUCCCUGGGCUGCCAGCCUUCUUUUUCGGCAGACCCCACGGGGCAUGCUACCCCACAAGACCAAGCGAGGCCAGCCGCCCUGGACCGCCUCAUGGUGUGUGAUGGGAUCCCACCGCCCCUGACACAAACAAGCAGAUGGUGAUCCCUGCUGCCCUCAAGGCUGAGCAUCUGAAGCCCACAAGAAAGUUUGCUUGCCUGGGGCACCUGUCUCAUAAGGUUGACUGGAAGUACCAGGCAGUGAUAGCCACCCUGGAGGAAAAGAGGAGGGAAAAGGCCAAGAUCCACUACCAAAAGAAACAGCAGCAGAAACAGGCCCAAAAGAACGGGGAGAAGAAAAUUGCAAGUUCACAGGGGUCCUCAAGACCCAUGGGCUUCUGGUCUGA
rnacentral:lncRNA from 1 species